CCAGGGGGCGGGGCUACACAUGCAAGUCGAACGGUAACAGGAAGAAGCUUGCUUCUUUGCUGACGAGUGGCGGACGGGUGAGUAAUGUCUGGGAAACUGCCUGAUGGAGGGGGAUAACUACUGGAAACGGUAGCUAAUACCGCAUAACGUCGCAAGACCAAAGAGGGGGACCUUCGGGCCUCUUGCCAUCGGAUGUGCCCAGAUGGGAUUAGCUAGUAGGUGGGGUAACGGCUCACCUAGGCGACGAUCCCUAGCUGGUCUGAGAGGAUGACCAGCCACACUGGAACUGAGACACGGUCCAGACUCCUACGGGAGGCAGCAGUGGGGAAUAUUGCACAAUGGGCGCAAGCCUGAUGCAGCCAUGCCGCGUGUAUGAAGAAGGCCUUCGGGUUGUAAAGUACUUUCAGCGGGGAGGAAGGGAGUAAAGUUAAUACCUUUGCUCAUUGACGUUACCCGCAGAAGAAGCACCGGCUAACUCCGUGCCAGCAGCCGCGGUAAUACGGAGGGUGCAAGCGUUAAUCGGAAUUACUGGGCGUAAAGCGCACGCAGGCGGUUUGUUAAGUCAGAUGUGAAAUCCCCGGGCUCAACCUGGGAACUGCAUCUGAUACUGGCAAGCUUGAGUCUCGUAGAGGGGGGUAGAAUUCCAGGUGUAGCGGUGAAAUGCGUAGAGAUCUGGAGGAAUACCGGUGGCGAAGGCGGCCCCCUGGACGAAGACUGACGCUCAGGUGCGAAAGCGUGGGGAGCAAACAGGAUUAGAUACGGGGGUAAGUCCAAAAAAGGGGGUGUCCGCGUGGGGU
rnacentral:rRNA from 1 species